rnacentral:misc_RNA from 1 species
UACCGGGUUUAUGUCAUU